ensembl:snRNA U6 U6 spliceosomal RNA
GUGUUCGCUUCGGCAGUGCAUAUACUAAAAUUGGAAUGAUACAGAGAAGAUUAGCAUGGCCCCUGCACAAGGAUGACACACAAAUUCACGAAGCAUUCCAUAUUAAA